AUUGAACGCUGGCGGAAUGCUUUACACAUGCAAGUCGAGCGGCAGCGCGGGGCAACCUGGCGGCGAGCGGCGAACGGGUGAGUAAUGCAUCGGAACAUGUCCAUGUCGUGGGGAAUAGCCCGGCGAAAGCCGGAUUAAUACCGCAUAUGCCCGAGAGGGGAAAGCCGGGACCGCAAGGCCUGGCGCGAUUGGGUUGGCCGAUGUCCGAUUAGCUAGUUGGCGGGGAAGAGCCCACCAAGGCGAUGAUCGGUAGCUGGUCUGAGAGGAUGAUCAGCCACACUGGGACUGAGACACGGCCCAGACUCCUACGGGAGGCAGCAGUGGGAAUUUUGGACAAUGGGGAAACCCUGAUCCAGCCAUUCCGCGUGAGUGAAGAAGGCC
rnacentral:rRNA from 1 species